rnacentral:misc_RNA from 1 species
CACGAUCUUACAUGAUAGAUGAUUAUGCAGAUGGGAUCAAAUUGAUUAAAUUGGAAAAAUUUUAAAAUACAUGAUCAGUAGUUAUGGUGACUUACAUGUGAAUUCCAUUAUAAUUAACGACUAGUAUUUAUCGGUUACAUACACAAUAAUUGUACAGAAUAAAUUCAGUAGGUCUCACGAAAAUUUCAUCAUAAAUUUUAUUAUAAUCAAUUAUCAUAAUAUAGUUACAUUGAAUAAAUUCUUCUCAAAUUAGGUUUUUUAUUAUUAUUUUUUUCUGCUGUAAGUGGCAAUGCUAAACCACUUCACCUGAUUGCCUCUUGGGUUUGGUCCCCCAUUUUAACCCACCACUUUAAUUAAAAUUUUGGGGUUUGCCAUUGUUUCUUUAAUUACAUCCUAUAGAAAUUUUAUCAACAAUCAUCCUUAGAUAAUAAAAAUAAUUUUUAUUUUAUGAAUAAAAAAAGUAAACUACAAAUAAAAUAUUUAAAAACAAAAAUAGUCAUAAAAAAACUCCUAAAAAUAUUAAUAUGUAGGCAGUAAGAGAAAAAAUUAAUUUAAAG